GAUGAAGAACGUAGCGAAAUGCGAUAAGUAAUGUGAAUUGCAGAAUUCAGUGAAUCAUCGAAUCUUUGAACGCACAUUGCGCCCGCCAGUAUUCUGGCGGGCAUGCCUGUCCGAGCGUCAUUUCAACCCUCGAACCCCUCCGGGGGGUCGGCGUUGGGGAUCGGCCCUUUACCGGCCGGCCCCGAAAUACAGUGGCGGUCUCGCCGCAGCCUCUCCUGCGCAGUAGUUUGCACACUCGCACCGGGAGCGCGGCGCAGUCCAAUGCCGUAAAACACCCAACUUUCUGAAAUGUUGACCUCGGAUCAGGUAGGAAUACCCGCUGAACUUAAGCAUAUCAAUAAGCGGAGGA
rnacentral:misc_RNA from 1 species